rnacentral:rRNA from 1 species
GGAAUAUUGGACAAUGGGGGAAACCCUGAUCCAGCAAUGCCGCGUGUGGGAUGAAGGCCCUCGGGUUGUAAACCACUUUUGGCAGGAAAGAAAUCGCCUGUGCUAAUACCACGGGCGGAUGACGGUACCUGCAGAAUAAGCACCGGCUAACUACGUGCCAGCAGCCGCGGUAAUACGUAGGGUGCGAGCGUUAAUCGGAAUUACUGGGCGUAAAGAGUGCGUAGGCGGUUUUGUAAGACAGAUGUGAAGUCCCCGGGCUUAACCUGGGAACUGCAUUUGUGACUGCAAGACUAGAGUGUGUCAGAGGGAGGUAGAAUUCCGCGUGUAGCAGUGAAAUGCGUAGAGAUGCGGAAGAACACCGAUGGCGAAGGCAGCCUCCUGGGAUAACACUGACGCUCAGGCACGAAAGCGUGGGGAGCAAACAGGAUUAGAUACCCUGGUAGUCCACGCCCUAAACGAUGUCAACUGGUUGUUGGGGAUUCAUUUCCUUAGUAACGUAGCUAACGCGUGAAGUUGACCGCCUGGGGAGUACGGCCGCAAGGUUAAAACUCAAAGGAAUUGACGG